GGUGCUAUAGUGUAGUGGUUAUCACUCGGGAUUUUGAUCGGUCAGUCUUCCCGAGACCCAGGUUCGAUCCCUGGUAGCACCU